rnacentral:sRNA from 1 species
GCGGCCGCCAAGGACCCAUCCCUGCGCUGCGGGUCCGGCCUGGAGCCCGCCGAGAGGCAGCGCGACUCCGGACGGUGGGUCUCUCUGCCCCGGUGCUCGCGUCUGCCCCUGGGGCCGGGCCGAGCGGAACCAGGAAUCGCAGAAACAGUCAGCGCCCAGGGCUCUAGGCCGGCCGCCCCGGGUGCCAGGUGAAUUCCUUUCCCUGACGGGCUGUGAGACGUUGGCCCGUCAGCCGUCGUCUUUGGCCUGAGUUUGCACAUCUGUAAAAUGGAAGCUCGGACUAGUGAUCCGUGAGGACCUUCCACGUCUGACGUGUGAUCUCGAGAGACCUGCGUACAUUCGGGGUGCCAGAAGGAAAGCAUAGUUGCUCCGAUGCAGAAUGGGAAUGGAAGACUUUUGAGGCCAACAGAAUGGGUUAGGACGUAUCUGAAAAACAUGAAAACUCUAAAAAACAUGAAAACUGAAGGAGUAUACGAACUCAAGUCGUUGAGAGUCGUGAAAUAAUGUGAACAUGCUCUUGUAUGAAAUCUUGAGACCCUGGAGCAAGAGAAUUUUGGAU